UACGAAGGGUGCGAGCGUUAUUCGGAAUUAUUGGGCGUAAAGGGUGUGCAGACGGUAUGUUAAGUCAACUGUUUAAUUCUCCGGCCUAACCGGAGGUCAGCGGUAGAUACUGAUAUGCUAGAGGGUGGAAGAGAGAAGUGGAAUUCUCGGAGUAGCGGUAAAAUGCGUAGAUCUCGAGAGGAACACCGAUGGCGAAGGCAGCUUCUUGGUCCACUCCUGACGUUCAUACACGAAAGCGUGGGGAGCAAACAGG
rnacentral:rRNA from 1 species